UACAGAGGGGGCAAGCGUUGUUCGGAAUUACUGGGCGUAAAGGGCGCGUAGGCGGCCUGCUAAGUCGAACGUGAAAUCCCCGGGCUCAACCCGGGAACUGCGUCCGAUACUGGCAGGCUUGAAUCCGGGAGAGGGAUGUGGAAUUCCAGGUGUAGCGGUGAAAUGCGUAGAUAUCUGGAGGAACACCGGUGGCGAAGGCGGCAUCCUGGACCAACAUUGACGCUGAGGAGCGAAAGCCAGGGGAGCAAACGGG
rnacentral:rRNA from 1 species